CCAUAUGAAAAAAGUGAAGCUUUAAACGGCAAACCCGCAUGGAGAGUACUGGUGUUAUGGCCAAGGGACCAACAUUAGAUUCUAAAUGCACACUACCAAAUAUACAAUCAAGAGAAGAUAAACUGCCCUCUUUACUCACUCUGCCCGGCGCCUUAAUUGUAAGAACAUAAGAACAUAAGAAAGUUUACGAGGCGGCCAUUCAGCCAAUCUUGCUCGUUUGGUUGUUAGUAUCUUAUUAAUCCCAGAAUCUCAUCAAGCAGCUUCUUGAAGGAUCCCAGGGUGUCAGCUUCAAGAGUUGGUUCCAGACCUUCACAAUUCUAGUACUGGGGACGAAUCAUGCGAGUUUGGAAAUAUUAUUAGGGACAGCGCGUUGCCGAGAUUGUGCGAGUUCUCGGUCAGCUGGACUGAUCAGACCUGUGGCGAGCCCGAUUCUUUGAUUUAUUGUCACACUGCAAGAAUCCGCUGUUGUUCGAGAUAUGUAGGUAAAAGGAAGUGUGAGACAUGGAAGAAAAUGGAAGACAGACAAGACUGAUAGAACUAAUUAAAUUCUACUUUCAUGCCAGGAUGCAGUAUAAAGACAUACUUGCAGCACUUGCUGUCCAGCACAGAAUAAUAAUUAAUGAACGACACCUGAAAAGGAUUUUAAAGGCACAGGGUUUGAGCAGACGUAAAAGCUACACCGACAUAGCGUAAGUGAUAGAAUUAAUUUAUGACCAGCUGCAUGAAGGUGGGGGACUGCAUGGUUAUCGGUGAAUAUACACAAAAAUGCCUCCAAGAUGGUCUCAACGUUAGGAAGGAGGAAGUACGCCUGAUUCUUAGAGAACUUGAUCCCAUAGAGAUGAAAAGUAGAAGGCGGCGACAGCUUCGCAGACAACAGUACUUUUCAAAGGGACCUAAUUGUAUAUGGCACGUUGACUUAUACGAUAAGCUGAAACCAUUUGGAAUCUGCAUCAAUGGUUGCAUAGACGGGUUCUCCUGUAAAAUAAUUUGGCUAGAUGCCUAUUACACAAACAGCGAUCCCAAGGUAAUAGCCGGUUACUUAAUUGAAGCUGUUGAAAAACUAGUAGGAUCGGCAAGCAUUGUCAGAGAUUUUGGAACUGAAAAUGGCAAAGUUUGUGAUAUACAGCGUUUCCUGCGAUGCAACGACCUGGACGAAAGACCGGGUGAAGAAAGCUACAUACAAGGUACAAGCACAUCGAAACAACAAAUUGAAAGUUGGUGGGGAAUUCUUCGCAAGGAAUCUAUGGAGUUCUGGAUACAGCUCUUCUUUGGAUUGAAAGACGAAGGAGAAUUUGAUGAAAGCUUUUUGGACAAAGCACUGCUUCAGUUUUGCUUUAUGGGAAUCCUACAGGUGCAUAUACAAAGAAAUGCUAUUGUAAUUGAUGUGGGUAGUUUUGUCCUUUGUCCAGUUUGAAAGCAAUCCAUAUAUUGAUAUUGCAAAAGUUCUGUAUCCAAUUGCAUCUAUCAUUAUGCUUAACCUUAUCUGGACCAAUAAAAUAGCCUAUUAUUACCUAACAGUUUGUGUUAAAAUAAAAUUAAUAUUUUAUUGUAAUAUUUUAAAUUCAUGAAGAACUGUAAUUCAUUUAGUUAAAAUAGCCUACUAGUUUAAAGGGACAAAAGUUUUAAAGUUUUAAAGGGACAAAAUAACUCACAAAAUUAAUUGGAAAAUUAGAAAAUGAAAAGCGUAAGAGUGUGGAUUUUUGACACUUACACAUUGUAAAAAAAAAAAAAAACUCAAUUAUUUGUCUUUUGUAGGAGGAGCUGGACCAGGUAAAAAAAAAUCUGGAAUGCACACAACAUCAGACCAUCACAUAAUAAAAAUGUCCCGUAUGGCCGUCCAGUGGCUAUGUACCUAGUUCCAGAGCUUUGGGGUACCCAAAAUUACCUGAAUUUAGUAGAUGUCCAAGAUCUUCAACUGUGCAAGCAAAUGUGCAUUUGGAGCGGUAGAACUUUACAUAAAUCUCAGAACUAUUCUUCCAUCUUUACUGUGAGGAGUUGUGUAAUACAGUGUCUCCAGCAAUAAUGCAGGCAUUUUCUAUUGAUCUUUUACAUGUAUUUUAAAUGGUGCAGAAAACUGCAUAUUUUAUAUACUGUAUAAUUAAAAUAAACAAAUGUCAUAAAAUGUUUUAAAUCACAGAUAUUAUUCAAGAUGUGAUCAAGUAAUUAAUCAAACAGAAACAGAAGUUUCAGCUCCUGUGUUCUGGGGGUAUUGCUUGUCAAAAGCUCAUCUUUUUUUCCUGCUAGCUAUACAAAAGUUUCUUACUAAGAAACCAAACAUGAAUACUUUCUAUUUUAUUCUAUUUUUUCAUGUUUAUUGCAGACCUUAUUUAUUUUUUAAAACCAUCUCCAACACAAUAUUUAUCCAGCCUAAAUACUUAACGACAUGACAUAACAUAAUAAAAUGUAAUGAAUGUAAGUUUGAAUACACACAAAUAACUAGCCUUUUCUAGCAACAUUCAAAUUUAAUUUGAAAGAUACUUUGAGUGCCUGAAUAAUUGUUGGAGGUACUGUAUGUUAGACAGACAACUCUGCUAAGAAAACGGCCUGUAUAGUACAUAAAUAAAUAACCAACCUGGUCUUCCAGGGAAAACAACACAAUAACGUCUUUCCGAGUGCACUGAAAUGUUAUCAGUUAAGUGUUGCUGCAUUUAAUAUAAUGUAACGUUUCAGAGCUCUCAGGUGCGUUUUUUGAGAGGAAUUUUGUUCUGGGGCAGAUCUGGUCUGGAGGCAGAAGUUUCAGAUUGAGGGUUAGGGUUUAGAUUAGAGUUUGGGUUCAGGUUAAGGUAAUAAGAGUUAGGUUUAAAUAGGAAAUUGUACUUCCCAACUCUAGCUGUAGGCAAUAACAUUCAAUUUAGCGCAUCUGCCUCCAGAACAAAAUUAAUCUAAAAAAAGUCAAUUGAGUGUUUCAGAGCCCUCGGAAAGACAUCACUGUGUUAAAGUUUUCCCAGUGAGACCAGAUUCAAAUAACAUUAUGCUAUCCAAAACGAUAAGACUAUUUUAAUGCUGCCUCCUGGUAAUUAACCCUUUGAGCCGAUGUGCAAUCCGUAUUUUUCAAGUGUACAUUUAGGAUUACUGUACUGUACUAAAUGUACAAAAUGACUGUUUGUGGAUCAUGUCUCCUCCUAGAAUCCUGAAGUUACACAGGUUUAUUUACAAUCUUCAUAUUUUACAGCAUGGAUUUAACUUAGGUUUGUUCCUUUUUUGGGGGGAAUAUUACAAAGACAUUGCUUUAAUUUUGUAUUUUCAGGUACUUUGUAAACAAAUAACAAUGGUAAACAUUGAAAUAAAUCAAACACUUGAUAUUUCACAAA